rnacentral:pre_miRNA from 1 species
UCUUAUGGAUGGGCAAAGAAAAUGGUUUCUUAAAACGGAAUCCACUUCUGGUGAGGAUGCUAUGAA